rnacentral:lncRNA from 1 species
AGGAAUACGAUUAUGGUUUUCUAGAACUAGUUAACCAAGGAUCACUAUGAAAACCUCCACAUGUUUAUCCUCAUGGUUUAAGUUUCUUGUGUGGUUGUUCGUUGUUGUUCUAUUUUGUAACAAAAUUACUAAUUUACCCAUAUUUUGAUCUUUUAUUAAUUUUUAUUUCAUUUUUCUAAUUUAAAUUAGAGUUUUAAAAAUAAAAAGCCCUACCCUAACCUUAAGCCAAUCCACCAAUGCUCUUCAUUUUCUUAACCCCCCAACUAACACACCAUCUACUAUUGUCUCUCUAUUUCUCUUGGAACACAGGCAUAACCAUCCACAAUGCUACCCUUUAACCUUACUAAACCACCUCCUCUUAUUUCCUUACUCGAUAACCACCACUAGCACUCCAAAAAUUUUGAUGACUACAAAACCAUCACACUUGCAAAACAACGCCACCCCUUAUUAUCUAUUAUGCUUUACCAAAUGAUUCAUGUACCAAAAGAACAUGCAAGUAAGAAAAUCACAACCUUCAGUCUCCGAAAUUUUUGCAUGUACGGGUGCGGGUGGGGGGAUUCAAAAUCUAAAAGAAGACGGGUAGGGAAAAAGUGAUGAUAAUGUUGAUAGAGAUUUGAUUUUUCUGGCGAUAUAUGGAGCAACAUGUAUAAUUUUUCGAGGAAAUCUGGUCAGUGCUAUGGAUCUUUAACUAAAGUGAUUUUACAUUCACAUAUACACAACUAACCACCACUGAUCUUUGUUUUAGUCGAGUGAUUUCUGGGUUUCGUUCAAUGAAUUUUGGCUUGACCUGGCAAUCCAUGUAUGUGUGUCUAGUAUAUGUGUCACACAUAAAUUUCACGACAUAAUUUUGUUGAAUACGAACACGAUACGAAUUGUAAAAUGUGUAUGGGAUAUUAAACAUGAAUAUAACACGUAAAAAAUUGUGUGACAUGUGACAUGUCACGAAUAGACACAUUUUUUUAACCAUGUUACAAAAAAAAAAAAAAAAUUAAAACAACAUGCAUAUAUGUUUUGUCACCCAUAUGGACCAAACGAAUAAAUCUGUAUCAUAUAGUAGUUUUUUCCUCUAGAUCCCAAUAAUUUUUCACUAGGUUUAGAGUUUUUCACAUACAAUUUUGUGUUUUUAUUUAUCUGUAGUUGUUUUCCGAAGAAUUAUUAGUUCCCAACAAUCAAUUUGUAAUCGACUUUUAAAAAAAAAUUAGAACAUAUAUCCAAACUGAAAAUUGGUGCAUGAAAAAAAUACAUAGAAACGAUAACUACAAAUAUUAUAUAUUGUUCGUGUUAUAAUUUUUAAUUUUGUUGGCAUGCUAUUUUUGACCAUCUGGUUUACAUAUUAUUCAACCCAAUCAACAAUAUGUUUGAAAGAUUUAAUCCAAUUACCAACACAUCUAUCACUUUCAUACCAAAACCUUUUACAUACGACGGGGAGAUCAUCACCAACUUUUCUUAGUGUGCAAGACAAGAGUACGUUUGAAACUUUGGAUGGUCACAUGUAGCAUGGUCUGAGAAAUAGUUUUAUCAUGUCAUUUGCUACAAAUUUUGUUGGUGCGUAAUGUUGAUAAAAGUAUCAUUGCAAAAUAAUUCAAAAAUAAUCAAGUUUCAUUUAUGGUCAACUAAUAUCGAUUGGUUAAUCAUAUUAAAGUAAUAAGAUAUGGUCUAUUUUUAUCAAGCAAAAGAAUAUUGUCAAAACAAUUGUUCUAUAGGGGUGUAAGAAGUACCCUUGAAGGGUGUAAUCAACUUGUUUUAAAUUGGAAAUCGAUUCUUGACAUGUGAUUAUAACAAGGGUUUUGUAAAAUAAACAAAUAUAUCUUAUUACUGAAAUUUGCAUGUCUAAAAAAUGAUAUUGGAAUUUUAAAACUGGGGAGGUGAUAUUUUUGCUUAUGUUUUUAAUCUAUCCAUUUAAAAACAAGUUACUUUAAAAAUUAUAAUUAAUCUUAAAAAACAACAUUGUUGUUGAAAUUACAAAAUAAACUAAUGAAUCAUUUUUAGAUUAGUUAGCUAUACAUAUAGUUAAAAAUCAUAUCAAAACAAGAAUUUUACACAACUUUAUAGACUUGCAAUCCAUGGUAGAGACCAUUAAAAUGUAAUGGUUCAAGUUAAAUAAAUAUUUUUAAGAAAUUUGAACUAUAUUAUAUGAAUUAAGUUCAGUCAUUAUAAUACAAAUGUCCAAUGUCUAAAAUUCGAAUAAAAAUACCAUUUACCAUAGUUUUAAUAUAAGGCUAAUAAUGUCAUAUGGCUGUCACCAUAAUAAAAACUUAGAGCAUUGGGUGUGAACAACUGAAUUUAACACCAAAUUGAUGUCAUCUCAUCCAUAACACUACCAUAACACCAAGGAGGAAAUGGUGUUCCACAUGUUAUAUCAUGUUAAGUAGUAGAGAAAUAAAAUAGAUAAAAUUAUUUGAUUGCUUGAUGAAGGAGAUAACCAAUCAUAUUUCUUGUUUUAUCUUGUCCUCGUUACCACAAGAUGCAACAUAACGAGCAAAAACGAGUAGGGGGCGGUGUCCCCCCCCCCCCCCCCCCCCCNCUCCCCCGGUCACGACGCCGUUGAGGGUGCCACAUCACCCGGUUGCUUCUAGUUUUUGGCCCAUACUGCAUCCUCUUAGUGGUUGUUGUAUGGACUUCAGGUUUCAAACCACAAUAUACUUAAAAUAUUUCUAAUAUAUUUUGAGAUUUAACAACAGAUGUUAAGCUUUGAAAAAGUUCGAUAUGAGCCUUUCAAAUGAUAUACUUUUUCAUUUUUUAAGAUUAUAUGGUUCAUGAUAAAUAGUUAUUUCGAACCCUUUAAUUGUUGCCUAGUGUUAUCAUGUAACUUCAAAUAACAAUGAUGUUUUAUAUCAAUUGUAAAAAUAUUAUUAUAAUAAAGAUUAUUCUAAGUCCCAAAUCUGUUUGUGUAUCAAUCAGAUCCGUUUGAUGGUGCAGAAUCUCAGUCAAACGGAUGAUGUCAGAUCAAAAUAGAAGAGAAGGAGAAGAAGAAUACUAUGAAUCUUGUAUGAUUUGAUUAGAAUGAAGUUCCCUUAGAAAAGAUUCACACACUUACACACACUUAUGCUCCAUUCUCUAACUCUCUCCUCUAGACCUCCUUUUCUCUAGCCGUACACACUCUUAUGACUCACUAACACACUAUAUAUAUGGAACAACUAGCCGUGAACAGGUUCACGGUCGUGAAUCGGUUCACGGCAGUGAACACCACUUGGUCGUAAACAUAUCCAACCGCAAACACUACAUGGAUCGUAAACUAUUAAAGCCUAGAAAAGUAAAGUAUAAACCAUAUUUUUUGACCCAACAAUCUCCCCCAUGGUUUAUAGCUUUCUUUUCUAAUUGACCCAACAAGCUCCCACUAAAAAGUAGCUGGCUUUUCUUGUCAAUCUUCAUUUGGGGCUUGGCUUUAGCGUUUACCUUCGAUUUCUUCACAACUUCAAGAUGAACAUGAUGAAUAUUCAAUAAAUGACUUCAUCUUGAGCACUUGGGAUUUUCUUCAGAAUUUGGCUUUGAACGCACAUUGGAUAAGGAGGCUUCUUGUAGAGAUUCUUGAAAGAUAGUGCUUUCAGCUUGAGAAUUUUAAGAGAGAAUGAUAAAGAGAACUAAUCUUUUGGAUCACUUCAGCAGGUUCAUAGAUAGCAACAAAUUGAUUGAGGAGACUUCAAUGCAAUCUGUCACAUAAUCUUCAAGAACAGUUUGACCAUGCUUCUUGGGUUGAAAGAUUGAAUGUUGAAAGAAUAAUCUUCAUUUCAUGUUCCUUCGAAUGAGAAUUCUUCAAUGAUCACGGAUGAAGCCUUGGCUUAGAAAAUCUCGAUACAGACUCCAUGAGUCUCAUCUACAUCUAAAUUCUCUUUUCAAGACAAAACAAAACUAAAAGAAAACUUAGCACACAAUAUUUUUUGUAUUUUUCAUAUUUUAUGAAAAUUAAAAUAGAAACAAAAAUGUUUUUGGAUUUUUAAUUUAUUCUGAACAAGAAAUAAAAUAGAAAUAACACUAUUUUUGGAUUUUUAAUUUUCUGGUUUUUGUUUGAUUUUUGAAUUUUCUGAUUUUUGAAUUUUUUAAUUCUCCCCCUAAAUUUGUGCAUUGAUGAAAACUAUGAACAAAUUUAAUAAAAACAAAAAUAUUUGGGAUCAAAGCUGUGAGACAGUCUUGACUUUGUUUAUCAGUACCUUCACAUUCAUGAAUAAAUAUGGUCAAUUGCCAGUAUUGUGGUCCACUUAAACACGAAGAAUAUUGACAAAAUUUUCCAAAUAUACCAUUUAGCUGACGACAACCACGGGUAUUGUUGUCCACAUAAAUUAAGGAGUGAGAUCUACAGACAACCUUUAAAUGGUUCAAUUUUAGUUACACUAGAACGUGUUACCCACUUCCCGAUAUACCCUGGUUAUCAAGAACUUCCAAAGAACUCCUUACUUUAGGUGAAUAGACAAUUGUUAAGGAGGAAGUCAAAUUUAGAAAUAGGUGCAUAUGUUGUGUCCCAUGUCAGAUCUCUUUCAAUCACGCAGAGGGGACAACAUAUGGCUAACUAGGAUAGAGGGAUUGAGAGGUUGAAUAUUGCAUAUGUUGUGUUCUAGGUCGGAUCAUUUCAAUCAAGCAGAGGAGACAACAUAUGGCUAACAUAUAGAAAGAAUUGCAUAGAUAAAGAGGUGCAUAGAAAUAGAGUUGCAUAUGUUGCAAUCCAGGUCGGAUCUUCCGAUCACGCAGAUGAGGCAACAUGUGAGUGACAGAUAGAAAGCACGAAAAUAAUUUCCUACAGGCCUACUUUAUCAGAACCCCCCAGUCGCCCUAUUAGAACCAGAAUUAAGGACAUAAGUCUAUACAUCAAGGAAAAGUUGAACCACUGCUCUAGAUGUAUAUUAAUUUAGUGUAUCCUGUGGGUUCCCGUGUUUAUCUCAUUGCUCAAUCUACCNAUGCCCUAUCAGAACCAGAAUUAAGGACAUAAGUCCGUACAUCAAGGAAAAGUUGUAUCACAGUUCUAGAUGCAUGUUAAUUUAGUGUAUCCUGUAGGUUCCCGUGUUUAUCUCAUUGCUUAAUCUACCCGAGCGUCGUAUGGUCAGUCCAAACAAUCCUAUCUAAAUCCACACUGUCAAAUCCUUCGUGCCUACAAGCACAUUGAACACAGAGUCUAGACAGUUCAGAUUCAGUCCCUUACACAUGUUUAGACUGCCCGUUAUCACUUUCUUGAUAUCACUUCCCAAACAAUACCUACUAACGAAAAACUAUAAGAAAAUAAAAGAUUUUCUUCGAAACGAAUCAGUUUAAGAUAAACUCAGGAGUAUCGAAAAGAAAACUCAAACCAUAAGCCAGCGAUUGAAUUUGCAUCCAGAAGGUCUGAGAACAGCACACAUAAUCUCAGAACAGAUCCGAAAAUUCUUCACAUCGUUAAGCACAAACCCCAUUUGUGAUCCUCUCAUUUUCUUCCUUUCCUGCGAAGGCCACAUACUUUCACUUAAAGUCAUGAGUGUUGUACAAUUGAGAGAUGCCUCCUAUCAUGUGCAUGGAACAGCCACUAUCAACAAAACGAAGUCUAAUGAUAUGUCUCCAUAGCUGCUCCAGCACAGAGCGGGAUCAGUUGGUCUUUGGAACCCGAUCCAUUUUGAAACUGGGUUGACCUUUGUCAUCAACGCAAUGUACCCUCUCCCAUAACAUAUCCUGUUUAUCACAAAUAGAAGAUGAAGAAAUAUUAGACGCAUUAGAUGAUUUGGUAGAUUGAACCUUUGGUGCCCAUCUGUAGUCAGGUUUAACCUAUUUCUUAUUGGAUCAGAUGGGUGCCUCGGUACUUGCUUUUGAACUUGAAGUCGGCUGCCAAGAUGAUUUUGACCUAACCGGUCUUUGUUUCACUGGAGCAUCUCUUGGAUUGGACUUUUUGCCCGACAUUCCCUUUUUGCCCUUGGGAUUUUGAUUCUUGGCCUUGUGGGUUUGAUUCUUGGCCUUCUGGGCAUUCCAAUCGCAAAUUCGCGAUUGUGAUCUCGAAUGAUUUCCUUUGGAGUAUCUCCCUCUUGGCGCAUUUUUCCAUCCUUGUGCAUAGUAGGGAACGUAUGCGCGAUUAGGACAAUUUCUAUCAAUGUGACUAGGUGUUCCACAGUGAAAGCAAGUAUGCUUCUUCAUGUAGGAGUUGUUUCUUUUUGCCCUUGGUGGCGUGACCUUGCCUUGUCCCUUAUUGUUCCCACAAGCACAGUUGCAGCAGGCACUUUCUUUCGCUUGUGUUGGUGACAUGUAUUUACCAAUAGUAGGUUGAUCAGAAGCAACUGAGUUCGAAGCAAUAGGUUCAGAGUUCAAGGAGACAUUGGUUUAGUCAACAGUAUUCUCCUUAUUCUCAUCUUCCGCUACUUUACCUGCACAAGACUUAGAAAUAUUAGAAUUCUUCACCUCAACACCCUCAGUUGGCCCAGAAUGUUCAGUCUUGACUCGAUCUGAUUCAUGGAGUGGGACAAACUAAGCUGGUGUCUCUUCCUUAUUAGUUUCAAGGGGUGUGGUAUAGUUGUCACUGAAAGGAGGUGGAACACUGUGGUACCCAAGACCCUUAUUUUGAUUAUCUUUAAAUUUUAAUUAUUUUUCAAUCAUGGAUGCAACUACCUCACUUGACAAAUCAGAUUUUUUGAAAUUAAAAUCUGCAUUUUCAAGUUUGUUUUUCAAUGUGUCAAGCUCGGCAAUCACAGAGGCAAGUUGUUUCUUAAUGUAGUUAUAAUUUUCACAUUUAUUGUUGUAUUCCUCUUGAAGGGUUCUAAAGUCAUUUAUUUUGGCCUCUAGUUUCUCUUUUAAUGGUCUCUGAUCUUUCUUAAGUUCAUACUUCUCAUAUUUUAGGUCAUCGUUCUCUCUAUUUAUCAACUCGAUUUGAUCACGCAAAACUUUGACUGUGUUAAUUCAAGUUUGAGAACAAGAAACUUCAUUGACCGAAAUGUUUGAGUAAGUCAUUGUUUUUUUUCUGUAUUUUUUUAAUUUUAUAUUGCCCUUUGACUUAAAAACUCAAAAGUCAAAUUUAAAAAGUCAGAUUUAAAAAGUCAAACUUAAAAGUCAAACCGAAAAGCUAAAUUUGAAAAUUUUAAAGUUAAACGAGAAAGUCAAAGUUUAAAGUCAAAGGUCAAACUUGAAGGUCAAAGUCAAAAUUUUAGGUCAAAAUUCAAUUUAGAAAAUCAAAAAUUAAAAGUCAAAAAUUUUGGUUGAAAAUGGAAUUUUUUAAAAAUGAAAAUUUAAUUUUUGGGCUGAAAGUGACAAUCUUUUGAAAUUAAGAAGCGAGAAAGGAGUCCUUUUUAAUUAAAUUUGGGAGGAAUGAAACAAGUGGCUUGGUAGUCCAACUGGUAAGGCGCGUGGGAUGUUGAAGCGAGACACCCAAGUUCGAUUCCUGGCAACUCCCAAAAAAAAAAUAUGAACGUAGUGCGAACCCUCACACAAGCUGGCCAAGCACACGGCGCGAGGACGAGGAUCAACUGCAAAUGAGGCUGACCGUGAACCCUAGACAGCAAACCCCCAACCGAACACGUGCGAGGCUGGCCAUAAACCUCGGAGGAACCCCUAGCCGCAAAUGCUUCUUCGGCCGAGAAAGCUUCAAUGGCCGUGAACCCUUCGCAGAUUACGUAAAAAAACAACGUUUUUCACCUCUUUUUGCUCCAAAACUUGAUCAAAAACUCAUUUUUAUGAAGAACGCGAAGAACAAACCCCCUAUUCUGCAAAGAUCUAUCCAAAAAUGCAAAAAUCCUUCAAAAAUAAGAUCAAACGCACUCCAGAUCUGCAAAAAAUGAUUGAUACAAUCCAAGCUCUGAUACCACUUGUAAGUCCUAAAUCUGCUUGUGUAUCAAUCAGAUCCGUUUGAUGGUACGGAAUCCUAAUCAAAUGGAUGAUGUCAUAUCAAAAUAGAAGAGAAGAAGAAGAAUACUAUGAAUCUUGUAUGAUUUGAUUAGAAUGAAGUUCCCUUACACAAGAUUCACACACUUACACACACUUAUGCUCCUUUUUCUAACUCUCUCCUCUAGACCUCCUUUUCUCUAGCCGUACACACUUUUAUGACUCACUAACGCACUAUAUAUAUGGAACAACUAGCCGUGAACAGGUUCACGGCCGUGAACCAGUUCACGACAGUGACCACCACCUGGCCGUGAACACAUCCAGCCGCGAACACUACAUGGACUGUAAACUAUUAAAGCCUAGAAAAGUAAAGUAUAAACCAUAUUUUUUGACCCAACAAUUAUUUUAAUAAAAUAGUUAUGAAAUAUAUUUAUAGAUACAUUUUAUAAACGUAGCAGUAUUCACAUGAAAUGUUUGUCUAAAAGAUAAACGAAGCAAAAAUAAAUAAUCAUAAAAAAUAAAAAAAUAAUAAUAAUAAAACUUCGAAGGGACACAACACAUGUGGGUAAAUUGUGAAAAAAAUAUUUAGAAGACACCCUCAACUUUUGAGACAUUCUGCUAAAUGUGUCCUUUAGGCUCGACGGAGUGGGAGUUUGUAAGCCUAGAAAAUCUAAGGUGGACUCGGCUAACACCACGCCACCACCUCAAUGAAAAAGCUUGGUCUUGGUAUUCGGUAAGUUUCCAUCGAAUUUCACACACACACACACACACACACAUCCACCGAUGAGUAAACGGAUCUUUUUCAGAAAUAAAUAACUAUAUAUCUUCAUUCCCUUACUCCUUCUACACUCUCUCUAAAAAUGUCAUCAUCAUCUUCAUCGGGGGUUUUUUUUGAUGCGUUGCUUGAAUCAACCAUAGAGGCCAUUCAAGAGGUUGGACAGAAGAUAGAAGAACUACAUCAACAAAAUGCAGAUAAUGCACACCGGUGAAAAAAGAGUUUCAUAUAAAGAAAUCAUGAGAUGGCUCACCAAUGCCUCGUGCAAAAUUAUUUUGAAGAAAACGUGACUUUUCAAGGAUAUUACUUUCGUCGACGGUUCUGUAUGCAUAAACCCCUGUAUUUGUGUAUCGUCAACAACCUCACGACAGCGUGUCCAUAUUUUUAACAACGUGUAGAUGCUAGAGAUACAGUUGGUUUUACUCCUUUACAAAAAUGCACCGCCACACUUUGUCAAUUAGCAUAUGCUACUUCCCCCGAUGCACUAGAUGAGAAUCUUUGGAUGUUCGAACGUACUGCAUGACAAAGCCUUCACAAAUUUUGUAAGUAUGUCAUGAGAUUGUAUUGUGCACGAUAUUUGCGCAAACCUACUUAUAGUUACGUCCAAAGUUAUAUGCUCAUCAUUAUUAACAUGUCUCCAUUAUCCGACGACAUGUAUAAUGGGAUUGAAGCAAAUUAUUCAUUUGAUGUGCAUGGAACGUUAUAUAGGUAUGGAUAUUAUCUUAUGGACGGUAUAUAUCUGGAGCAUGCUUGUUUUGUGAAGUCACUGUCUUGUCUAAAUGAUCGCAAAAGGUUGAAGUUUAAGAAAGUUCAAGAGAAGGCGAGAAAGGAUGUUGAACGAGCAUUUGAAAAUCUCAAAAAACGUUAGCAUAUACUUAAAUAUCAUGCACUUUAAGUUGGUGAGAAGGAAAUGAGUGAAGCCAUAUACUGUAAUGUCCCAAAACUCAUAACCAAAAAAUUUGCUUUUAUAUUGAAGAACCCAUGAACCAAACAUGUUUGAGAAAACCAUACGGUAUUUAGGGAAUAUCAAUAAACAUCCCAAAAGUACAACAAAGGCAAUAAAGCAGAAAAUCAUGGUGCGUGCAACGCGAUUAUCCCGAGCCCUUCCUUUUUGAACCGGAAGUACCUAAAACAUAAACUGAAAACCGUAAGCACAGAGCUUAGUUAGUUCCCCAAAAAACCACAUACCACACACAUAUGUUAACUCAAGGUUGUAUCGGGUCUAUUUCACCACCGAGUCUAUUACACCUCCGAGUCCAUUUCAACUGAGCACAAGGCUGUAUCGGGUCUAUUUCACCCCUGAGUCUAUUUCAACUCAUAUGUCAGCAUAAUGUUAUACCGGGUCUAUUUCACCCCGAGUCUAUUUCACCCCAUAUACAUAUAGAAAACAAGAAAACAGGCAUACAACACAUACAGCAGUAGUCACAAACAUUGUAACCACAUACAAUCCCUAGUUUCCUAUAUUAUAGUAAGCAAACUCACCUCAUUCUGUUGUCAGUCCAAUAAAUGUCCGGGCUACUAAACCGAAGAAUCCCCAAACUAACCAAUCAAAUAAAACCCUAAUUAAUAAUAGGGUCAUAAACCAUAAUCGGUACUUUAAUCAACUAAUCCUGACUCCUAAGAUAAAAGAAAUUUUACCCUUCCCUUAAUUGGCCCAAACUCAAUGGCACAAAAGUCCAAUAAUGGCUUAAUUCCUAAAGAACACUCAAAAGCUAAUAUGGGCUGAAAUCCAAGAACACACAAGACCUAAAAGUUUCCCAAAAUAAAAAAGACUUGUGGCCCAACAAGGGCACAACACCCUAAAGUCCAAAGGUGGCCCAACAAAAAAGGCCCAUGAACAGGUCGUGUACACUAAGAAUACCCCCGGUACACCUGACAUACUAGGUCGCCACACGGAGUCGAGGAUCCAAACGCGUACGCGCAACGUACCUUUUUUUACGCCCGAAGUAUGUCCCAUUCAACUAAUUCUUCCAUUAACCCCUUAAUGCUUAAGACCAAAUGUCCAUCUUUCAGAUCCAAACCUUGGGGAAUGUCUUAAUCCAUAAAGCCACUAACUUGGUGCCUUUGCAUGGCUCAAAUGGAAUCAAACCUUUGAUUUAGCAUCCUACUUCCACCAAAUGAGAAUUUACUUAUGCAUGGUUGAUCUUAACCAUCAAGAUGCAACCUUUAUGGACUAAGGAACUCAGAAACAUCAAGAGGAGCAACUCAUAACUUCUAGAGUUACAAAUCCCCACUAGGACUCAUACAUAGGACCAAAAAAUGUCCAAAAAUGUAUUAGAUCUAGAUCUAAGCAUAGAAUGAGCAACGUCAAAGAUUUAUACCUUUAUGAAGUUGGAAACGAUGAAUGGAUCUAGAUCUACAAGCUCUCCUUGGACAAUGCUCCUCAACUAAGCUGCUUCUUCUUAAAGUUACACCAAACACACACCAAAACACACAUAAAUGUCAAUUCUCUCUUGAAAUGAGCUAGGGUUUUGAAAUGGGAUUCAAAAGGGCAAUGGAGGAUGGGAAAUGAGAGAACCUUGGGACUUAAGGUUUCUUAAAUAAGGUCCAAACCUUAAAAUUAGGGUUUUUCCCAUUAUUACAUACGCCCAACAUACUGGAGGAACGCCCAGAGUCUGCACUUCCCUCCCAAAAAUUACAAUAAUUCCCAUAUGGACCAAAUUUGCAAACUAAUUACACACCAAGGGUUAAAAUGAAAAAUACAUUGAAUUGGGUGUUACAAUUCUCCCCCACUAGAACUAGACAUCAUCCUCGAAGUCCUUUGCUGUAAAUAAUUAUGGGUAGUGCUCCCUCAUCUAGUGCUCAGGCUCCCAUGUCCACUUUGAACCAUUUCGGUGUAGCCAUAGUACCUUCACGAGAUCCACCACCUUGUUUCGCAGAGUGUUCGUCCUCUUGUCAAGGAUCGUCAUUGGUCUCUCUAUAUAAUUCAGGUGAUCAUCGACUUGAAUAUCCUCCAAUGGAACCACUGAGGAAUCAUUAACUAGAUAUUUCUACAGUUGAGAGACAUGAAAGGUGCUAUGGAUCUGACUGAGCUCCUCUGGCAAAUCCAAACAACAUGCAACCCUACCUACCCGAGCUAACACCCUGAAAAGACCAAUAUACCUAGGUCCUAGCUUACCCCGCGUUCUGAAUCGGAUGACACCUUUCCAAGGUGGCACCUUCAGGAGUACCAUAUCCCCAACCUAAAACACCAAUUCUGAUUGGUGUCUAUCUGGGUAGCUAUUUUAUCGACUUUGUGUUGUUUGAAGUCUACCGCAAACCUGCUAAAUCAAUUAUGUCGUUUUGAGUACCACCUCCGUACUCCCUAUGACCCACUGACUGACCUCACCCCAAUAUAUUGGGGUGCUACACUUCUUCCUAUAUAACAUCUCAAAAGGAGGUCAAUAAAUGUUGGCGUGAUAACUGUUGUAAUAUGAAAAUUCCGCCAAAGGAAGAUGUGUAUCCCAACUACCACCAAAAUCCAGUACACAUUCUUGCAACAUGUCCUCCAAUGUCAGGAUAGUCCGAUCACUCUAACCAUUAGUCUUUAGGUGGAAAGUUAUGCUGAAGUGUAGACGAGUACCGAACUCGUCGUCGAAUCUCUUCCAAAACCUGAAAGUAAACCGAACAUCCCUAUCAGAGACAACCGAAACUGGAACCCUAUGUCAUGCCACCACCUCUCGAAUGUAGAUAUCGGCCAACUUUUCAGCCGAAAUACUCUCCUGGAUUGAAAUAAAAUGCGCACUCUUGGUCAAUCAAUCCACGAUAACCCAUAUUGAAUCCACUCCACAAGCUGUAUGUGUCAACUUUAUGAUAAAAUCCAUCGUAAUCUCUUCCCAUUUCCAAACGGGAACUUCCAAUGACCCUAUUUUGUCGUGAGUCGCUGAUGCCUGGCCUUGACUUUCCUGCAAGUCAAGCACAUCUCCACAUACCAGACCACAUCUCGCUUCAUACAUGGCCAGCAAUAUUCAAACGGGAGAUCUUUAUAUAUAUUUGUUGCCUCGGGAUGAAUAGACAAUCUCGACUUGUACACCUCCUCCAAAAAAAUCUGAUGUGCACUACCCCAAUAAGGAACCCACACCCUCUGAUGAAGGGUCAAUAAUCCUCGGUUAUCAUAAUCGAAGGAAGCCACCUGACCCACUAUGUGAUCGCUCUUCCGAUGCUCUUCCUUCAUAGCCUCAACCUGAGCCUCUCGAAUCUACUCUAAGAGUGGGGUAAUCAUGGUCAUCCUCAAACACACAUCCUUGAUCGGGGCAGCAACCGCCUUGCAGCUGAGAGCAUCGACCACCACGUUGGCCUUCCCCGGGUGAUAAAGGAUUUCAUAAUCAUAAUCCUUCACCACAUCCAACCUUCUAUGCUGCCUUAUAUUCAGAUUCGGCUAAUCCAUUAGAUAUUUUAGACUCUUGUGAUCUGUGUAAAUAGUACAAUAGACCCCAUAAAGACAAUGUCGCCAAAACUUGAGGGUGAACACCACAGCCCCCAACUCCAAAUCAUGUGUAGGAUAAUUUGCCUCGUGAGGCUUCAGUUGCCUCGAAGUGUAAGCGAUCACAUGACCCCGAUGCAUCGACACUACACCCAAACCUAUAAUUAAUGUAUCGGAAUACACCACAAAAUCCUUAACACCCUCUGACAAGGUCAUAAUUGGUGCCUCACACAAACUCCGCCUCAGAGUCUCAAAAGCUCCAUGCUGCUCAGGCCCUAACAAAACAUGACGGUCUUCUUUGUCAAUCGAUUCAAAGGAACUGCUAUCUUGGAGAAAUCUUGAAUGAAUCUCCAAUAGUAACCCGCCAAUCCAAGGAAACUCCGAAUCUCCGAUGGAGACCUCGGAACUUCCCACCUCAUCACCGCCUCGACCUUGGCCGGAUCAACCAGAAUACUUUUCUGGUUGACAAUGUGCCCCAAAACUUGCACCUCGCACAACCAAAACUCACACUUGGAGAACUUCACAUACAAUCUCUCCUUCAUCAUAGUCUCUAGUACCUCCUUCAGAUGUUCCUCAUGCUGCUCCUGGGUCUUAGAAUAGACCAAGAUGUCAUCAAUAAACAUAAUCACAAAUCGAUAUAGCGUGGUCCUGCAUGUGCGAUUCAUGAGAUCUAUGAAUGUGGCUGGAGCAUUGGUAAACCUGAAGGGAAUCACCAUGAACUCGUAAUGAUCAUAACGAUUCUGGGAGGCCGUCUUCUGCAUAUCCUCUUCUCUGACCCUCAUCUGAUGAUAACCCGAAUGCAGAUUAAUCUUCGAAAACCAACAUGUACCCUGGAGCUGGUCAAAUAAAUCAUCAAUCCUCGGAGUAGAUAACGACUCUUCACCGUUAACUUAUUCAGCUCCCAAUAGUCGAUACACAUCCAAUGCGACCCAUCCUUCUUCUUCACAAACAUGAUCGGUGCUCCUCAUGGUGAAAUACUUGGCCAAAUAAAUCCCUUGUCCAACAGCUCAUGCAGCUGUGUAGAUGUAAAACCCCAAAUCACGACGUAUCAAUUGGAUUCACUAGAAUUGUUACGGAAUCCCAAUCUAGUGAUUAAUGCAAAACGAGAUAUGGAAUGAAUAACACAAGAUGAAUCUUCAAUGAACACUAUAUUGAUGAUAGUCUGGUACAUAUGAUUCAGAUUACACUUGGUUUUCUCUCUGUUUCUCUCUAGAACGUGUUCUUGCCUUAUGGCAACACCCAAAAACGUCUCUCCCUCUUUACAAGGCUAAAAUAACAUUAUGUAUACCUAUACCUAAUAACAAAGGCCCAUACCAUAACCCAAACAAGACAACAUUAAGCCCAACUGAAAUCACAUGUGAUUUCAGUGCAAACAACACCAAAACAUGGUGUUUUCGGUCCUAGACCGAGAACUCUAAUAGCUUAUCAAAAGCAAAGUAUCAACGACAAUUUAUAACCUAACAGUAGAUAAUUCAUGCAUCUAUGGAGUUGCUAACCGAUAAGGUGCUUUGGGUAUUGAAGCCGCACCUAGAACCAAUUCAAUUCGAAACUCCAUCUCCCACUCCGGUGGAACUACAGGAAAAUCCUUCAAAAACACAUCUAGGUACUCCUCAACAAACGGUACAUCACCCACAGUCUUCUUACCCUUCUCCCAGGUAUCCAUCACAUAAGCCAUAAACCCGGAACAGCCCUGCUGAAGAUAGCGCCUGGCCCUAGCUUCUGAACAGAGAACCGACCCAUGCUAAACUCCAUCUCCUAGAAUCACUAACUCUCCCCCAACUGGGGUCCGAAUACAUACCAUCUGAUGAUGGAAAUCAAUCAUUUAUCCAUUGUGGCUUAACCAAUCUAUCCCCACAACAACCUUGCUCUCAUGCAGAGGAAUAGGAACCAAAUCAACCGGGUACUGCUCAUUAAACAACUCCAAUACACAUCCUCGAUGAACCCUCGAUACCCGCAUAGGAUGAUCAUCAGUAAUCUCAACCUCUAAUGGAUAAUAUACCUCCCACAGAUCAUCAGCAAACGUCUUGAUGAGCGUGAGAGAUACAAAGGAUUGGGUAUCCCUGAAUCAAACAAAACCAAAGUAGAGACACCGUUCACAAGGAACGUCCCUAAAAGAAAAACACAGAUAUAAGUAGGAAAAUCAACAUAAAUAAAGAGAUAAGGAGAAGAUACAUACAUGUCACCACAUCAGGUACUACGCGAGCCUCCUCGGCUGUCGGCUGGAAUGCCCUGCUUCUCUCCACAGGUGCCUCCACCUUGACCUAACGACCAUCUGUAAUUCAUAAGAUCGUCGGAUCGGGUGCUGCAACCGGUCAUGCCGCUGCUAAACUCGGACAAUCAGCCUUUUUUAUGGCCCCUCUAGUUGUAAUGAAAGCAAUUCAGAUUCAAUCUCACGGUGGUGGUUGUGCAAUCCCAACUAAAGUGCCUAGUCUUGUCGCACUUGUAGCAGCCUGAGCUAACCCCUGCAAGAUCCCUCGUGCGUCUUGUCGCACUUGCCACAUUGGCUUCGGCUCUGCCGACCCCUAGAUCUCGAAUCAAAAUCAUUGGGCUUUUGCCCGAACCUUCAGAACCCUGAACCUGAUCCAACUUCCACUUCUUCUCCAUCUCCAGAUCAAUUUCCUUCUCUCUAGCUCUCACCACCAUAUCAUUCAGUGUCUUGCAAUUGGAUCUGCUCACAAACUACAUGAUAUCACUGCUCAACAUAUCGUGGUAUCUCGCCUUCUUCAUCUCCUAGUCUGCCACAUACUACGAAACCAAUAACGCCCUCUCACGGAACAUAGCUGUGAUCUCCGCCACCAUCUCAGUAGUCUAGAGAAGGUCUUGAAACUCCCUGGCAAACUGCUAGACCUCAAUCACAGGUGCAAACUCAGCCUGAAACCUCGUCACAAAAUCCUCCCAAGUCAUCGAAUCGACCGCCUCGCCUCCCAAAGCAUGUCCAACCUCCUCCCACCAAUCUCGAUCUUUGUUUUUCAGAAGACAAGAUUCAAGUCUGACCUUUGCCCCCUCUGUUGGAUUAGUGUCUAAGCCCGUAACUAUAUUUGUUUUGUACUUGACCCGGUUGUGCAUGGUCCUUUUGGGUUGCUUUCACCAAAGCAACUCGAUAGGAUGAUUUAUGGAGAAAGAGAGGUUAUUAUGAUUUAUUAAUAUAUUAUAUGAAUAAUAUAUUAAAAGAGAGAUCAUAUAGUUUAAUUAAUAUUAAACAAGAAUUAAUUAAGAAUUAAUUAUGUGGCUAAAAGACAUUAAUUAAAUAAAGGCCACUAGAACUGUCAAUUAUGUGAUAGUUGAUAGUGGGCAGAGAAUCCUUAUGGAUUAGGGUGUGGACGAAAUUAAGAGGAGUCCAUCUUAAUUUCUGGAAUAGUGGCCUUAUUCCAGAAUGUUCUCAAGUUACUUAGGGCCUAAGUCGUCCAAUUAGCGUUUUGACUAAAACCCUAGAAGCUCAAGUAUAUAAGGACCCCAAGGGCUAGCAAAAUCAGACACUUGAUCCCUUGGAAGCUUGGAGCCGAAUUUUGCCUCUCAUCAUGUGACAACCGGCAAUCUUCCAGUCAAGUCAACCUGGUCAACCCAACUAGUGUUCAUAUGUUAGGGAUUUCUUUAUGUUACUAAUGAAAAACUGUAAAUCUUAAUGCAAAGUAACACUUGAGAGUUCCAAAUGUUAAAAUCUCUCCCAAAUCUCUCUCUCUCCCAACUAGUGUUUAUAUGUUAGGGAUUUCUUUAUGUCUCUCUCAAUCUCUCCCAUUGUAUCCCUCUCUCCCAAAUCUCUCCAAGUAUGUGAAAUCUCUCCCAAAUCUCUCUAUGUACCUUCCUCAGUUGAAAACAGCCCAAAAUCGAAGGAGAAAACCCAAAAGGACCCUCUCUGUCCUAAACCACUUGUCUGGAACCCUCUUGGACCUGAAACUCUUGUGCGGAACUCUCUUGGUCCUAAACCUCUUGUUCGGAACCCUAUUGUUCAUGAACCUCUUGUCCGGAACCCUCUUGGUCCUGAACCUCUUAUCCGGAAUGCCUCCUAAGGAACCAAGAGGAAUUGCACCUCGGAAGCCUCUCAUCCGAACCACCCAUUUUGGAACCCCCAUUUUGCUUCGGAACAUCUUGCUCCGACAUGAGUCCCUCCUCCGGACCACACAUUUCGAAAUCCUCAGAAGUGCCUUCGGAACCUCACACCGGAAGGCUAAGCCUCGACUCGCUUCGGCAGACUGCUAGCCGGACCGGACUUCUCCUGCUGACUCUAAAAUUGAAGAGUGCAUUCCCGAAUUUCGAGAUUGGCUCCGGAACCCUUCCUAACCACUUCGGACCCUCGCAGGAGCAUGAUUCCACUCCAGAUUUUGUCAUUUUCGGACCUUUUAUCAUUUUAAGGCAUUUUGACGUCGGGAAUCACACCAAACUCAUAUUUUUCAUAUCUUAGACUCCUUAAACCCCCAUUUUAUGCCAAAAUUAAUUUUUUUAAACAUAUAUAUAUAUAUAUAUAUAUAUAUAUAAAAUAAUACCUAAUAUUUUUAUGGAGAUUCUAUGGAAAUAAAGGGGUUUGACUUUAUGAUGUGAUGUAAAUCUCUCUUUUCCCAUGUAAAUCUCAGUAAAACACACAUUACCCAUAAAAAAUAAGCUUUACCCAGCAGCCCUCCAUGCAAAUGUCAAGUCACCUCCCUUAUCCUCCCCUUUAGAUACUUGAACUCCUUUUCCUCCCUUAUUCCACUUCUCACAUUUACAUUCAGAAAACUCCCAAGAAUACUCUCAACUCCAUCAAGCUCCAAGUUUCAUAUCUUCAAAGAAAGUUUCCAGAUUUCAUUUUGUAAGUAUUUUAUCUUCUUUGAAUAAUAAUUCUCCUCAUUAGUUCUAAGAUUCCUUUAUAUUUAUACAUAAAAUUAUUAUUAGAAUAUCUUAAAGUUCAAAGAACCCUUCAAGUGUUGGAGCUUGGAAACUUCUUAUCAUCUCUUUAAAAUCACCCAGCAAGCUAACCAAGGUGAGCUUCAUACCCCACUUUUUUCAAUGUUUUAGUGUUUUAGGAGAGAGUACAAGUUAAAUCUCUUCUAAAUACUUGAAUAGUUGCAUGUAUACGUAUAUUUGGAUGUGUGUGUGAAAUAUUAUUAAAUUAUUACUUUAGUAAUAUUCUCAUGAACAUAAGAUUUCACAAUUUCAUAAAGAAGAGAGGAUACUUUAUGUACAAGAGAGCCUCCCAACUAUUGGGUGUGUCCAACCUACUUAACCCCUUUAUCUAUGCUUUCAUGUCUAGAGAUAAAAGUUAUAAAAAAGAACCUUGAAUUAGUUGACACUAUUUCUAGUAAUUUUCGAUAAUGGGAACUUUGGGACUGUUUACAAACUAUUAGGGAUUAUUUUAUAACUACUUGAUACAAGUAAUUUGGUCAAGGAAAAUGUACAAUUAGAGCCUUUUUGACAAAAAAAAUUUGCAUGUCAUAAAGUUGCUUUCAUAACUUCACCCAAGUCAUAGUUUUAUACAAAUCAUUACUUGGCAUUUUUCAACAAAUUGAGCCGCUCUUAGUAUUUUAUAAAGAAAAAGGGUUGUUUUCCGGCUACGAUAAUAUUGGGUCAUCUUGAUAAAUAUUCAAAGUGGAUUUAUUCCAACAAACGAAACGAACGAAACGAAAUAUCUAGCUACAACUACAACUAUUUAUAUUUAUUUAGUAAAUAAUGAUUUUCAUGAUUUGCUUAGAAAAUCGGUUAGUAUUCUAGUCAGACAAAUCUUCACAAUACAUAUAUUAAUACAAUAUUUUACGCCUUAAGUCUUGUAAGAGUUAUAACUACAGUCUCCUGGAGGGAGAGCAGUAAUUUGUGUAUAGAUCUAUACGGGGUUGACACCCCGCACCUUCGUUGUUCGCUACAGCUAGACAGGCCAAUCUAGGGUGACAAAUGUCUUGAACAAAACCGACACUUGAAGAACGUCAUAACAGGAACUCUGUCACAUCAGUAUGGUUAUAACGACUCAUUAGAAUAUAUCAGAAAUGUGUUUAUACAGAAUUCACUUUCGGCUUACAGUCAACUACGUUUUGAUUACCUCAACGAAACCUUUUCCACACGAGUGUUAUGUUUUCAUAAAAGCCAUUAUUUUUAUGCUUCAGAAAAUAUAGGAUUUUCUAGGUGAAACGAUUUGUUACGAUUUCAAAAACAAUGAAUUAAGACACAUGUUGAAUCAUAAAAAGUGACCCUCUUGAACUUCAGCUACCGCAACCGACAAGCCACCGCAGUCAAGUUUCUUCAUCAGCAUUCGCAACCGUAGUCUCUACCUACCGCAGUCUCUUUACUAGAUUACUUUACUUGUCUUUUAUUGUAAUAAUCUCUAUUGUCCAGUAUGCCUUCCGUGGCUACUAUUAGAGUUGUAAUCUAGUGUACUUCAUGACUCUCUAUAAAUAGAGCUCAUUCUCUUGUAUCCAAAACUUACGCAUCUAAUUCUGAACUGCAAUCUCUGAAGUUAUCUUUUCUAUCUCUCUUACUCUCACUUAUUACUCUCAUAAUCGAUUACAAUCUCUCUUCGGAGCAAGUCUUGUGUAACUUAAUCACUAAGUUUGAUCUCACCUGUUAACUUGGCUUGAAUGCAUUCCUCGUUAUGAAUCAACUUAAGUGUAUACUUGAUAUAACAAUUGUUGUCAUUUCCAUUUCUUUACUUUUCUGCAAGCAACUCUCUAACCAUCUAACUCUAAAUAUUAUUGUUGAGCUUUUAGAUCCUUCGAUAUUAACUAUUCCGUAAUAUACUUGUUCUAGUGUUUGUUCAAGUUUGUCUCAAAGUUUUUCUUUCAGCAACAUACAUGCAACCAUACUCGAUUUGAAACAAGACUCACAACUAUUUUGAUAAGAAAAUAUUGGAUUUUCUGGAUUUCUAAACUAUCAUCGAAGUUUUAAACAAAAAUGCUUAUGAACUCACCAACAUAUUUUAUGUUGACGCUUUUUCAAACGACUUGUAUUCUCAUGAAAUCAAUAAGUAGGUUAUGGAUCGCGGACUCAUGAUUAUUUUGCUGCGUUUUGGAAAUUUGCUUACUGAUGUCUCUUUUGUGUAGAUUUUGAGAACAUUAAACAUGAUGUAAACCAAUGUAAGCUUGUUAUAUUGAUGUAUGUUGUUUGGAUUUGCUAUGUUUCAUUUAUAUGCAAUUGUUAUGAUACUACACAAUGAAGUCACCCACCUCCGGAUGUUUCCGCCGUUCUGGUCUGGGGGUGUGACAGAUUGGUAUCAGAACAUUGUUUAUAGUGAACUAGUAUAUCUAGUCAUACAAGAUAUACAACUAUAAAUACAAUGGGACUAAAAAAAUCAGACUAAAAGUAUACAUACUUGCUAGGAUUAUAUCAUAAAAAGAACAGACAAGGUAACUUAAAGGUUGAACACUACAGUCAAACCUGGGCAGUUAUGUAAUCACAUCUGGAUAAAUAUAGCCCGAUCAACUAUAUUUAUUUGAGAUAUGACCAACAUGUGUUUGGGAGUGAUAGUGGUGUUGCAACAAGCCUAAGGCCUCCGAACUCAUUAUCCCAAAACUCUUAAGAACCAAACCUAAAUAACUAAAAUACUAUAGGAGUAUUUUGGCAUUCUAUCUAUUUUCUCGUACUCAUGUAUUCUUGCACAGGCGACAUGGCAGACUUUCACCUUCCCAACUAGGGGAAUGGGGGUUGGAUUGAGGAAGACCCAUAAGAAGACCUCGAUGAACUCAUGGAGGAUCCCAAAGAACUGGUAGAGUCUGAAGAGGAGGACAUCGAUGAAGAGAUCGAGGAAGACGAUGAGGAAGAAGUUGAGGAGGAUGAGGAAUUAGACGUUGAGUCUGAAGUUAUCAACCCUCCCUACAUGGCAAGGGUACCGUCAUAUAGGAUGGGCUACAAUGGCCCUACACCUCCAUGGGCUGACAUUAUUGAGAGAUGGGGCCGACGCCAGGGUCAGCAACCACCGUUUCGGAUGAACCGAGAUUACUACGAUCUUCGGCAAGAAGCACCAGCAGAUCGCACACUCCCCUUCGUGGUCAGAUGUAUUAGGGACAUCGGUGACUAGGCUCAAGUGACUGCCCACUGGGUGAUGCAGAUGCGGGCGGCCAUGCAGAUCAUGGAUGCUCGCACGCAAGACCUCGAGCGAGACUUCUAUCUAAUGUAACGACUCAUAGAAGAUCUUGCCACUACACGAGCGGAGGUCAGAGAGUACCAGGAGCAACACGCUGCUCUGGAGGAACGGGUACGGAUUGUCGAACAUAGGUUAGCCAAGCUCCAGGGCGUGUCUACCUCAUCAUCAGCACCACCAGGCCCUACUCGUCGCAAUUAGUACCUGUUUAUUUGCUACCAUAUCAAUUUUUCCCUUUUGUGCACUUUCCUAUGUAUUACCGAAGACAUGAUUAAGUGAUUUCGCUACUCACAGAGUCGUGACUUUGCUAGAUUCUAUUUCACUACAAGCAUUGUAAGCCUUAUGAAGGCAAUUUUCCAUGUACUCAGAAGAUUAUUAUCAAUGAAAAACGGAUAUAUAUAUAUAUAUAUAUAUAUNUAUAUAUAUAUAUAUAUAUAUUUUCUUAUGAUGUGUUACCUCUUAUGUGCUCUAUCACUAUUUUUACAUGUUGAUUUUAUGCACACACUUAUUCAUAUACAAACAAGCCAUCAAUACUAUUCUAUGAUCAAGAAAUCGUGAAAAAAUACAUUCGGGUUCCAACAAGAUGUACCUAGAUAUCAAACAACAUUAUUGGUGGCCAAAUAUGAAAGCAGAGAUCGCCACUUACGUUGGCAAGUGUCUCAUUUGUCCCAAAGUUAAAGUGGAGUAUCAGAAGCCCUCGGGUCUACUUCAACAACCUGAAAUACCUGAGUAGAAAUGGGAGAUGAUAACAAUGGGUUUUAUAACCAAAUUACCCGAGAAGACAGACGGUUUGGAUGCCAUCUGGGUGAUCGUUUAUUGAUUAACAAAAUCCGCCCAUUUCCUACCAAUAAAGAAGACGUACAAAAUGGAAAGCCUAACACGAAUAUACCAGAAAGAGGUAGUGAGACUUCAUGGAGUCCCCAUAUCUAUUAUCCCGGAUCGGGAUAGCAGAUUCACCUCUCGCUUUUGGCAGUCGCUACAGAAAGCAUUGGGAACCCGACUGGAUAUGAGCACUGCCUACCACCCUCAAACUGAUGGCCAAAGUGAACGAACUAUUCAAACCCUAGAAGAUAUGCUCUGAGCAUGUGUAAUAGAUUUUGGCAAAGCCUGGGAUGCCCACAUGCCCUUGGUUGAAUUUUCAUAUAACAAGAGCUAUCACACGAGUAUAAGAGUCGCCCCCUUUAAGGCCUUGUAUAGCCGAAAGUGCAGAUCACCUCUUUGUUGGGCCGAGGUGGCUGACACCCAGCUGGCAAGAGGGAAAUUACCGAGUAGCACUCUCAUAGGACCUGAGAUCAUUCGGGAAACAACUGAGAAAAUCAUCCAAAUCAGGUCACGACUGUAAGCGUCACGGGAUAGACAGAAAAGUUAUGCAGAUAAAAGACGAAAGACGUUGGAGUUCGAAGUAGGAGACCGCGUGUUACCAAAAGUCUCUCCCUGGAAAGGGACGAUCCUCUUCGGGAAACGAGGAAAGUUAAACCGGUGAUACAUCGGACCAUUCGAGAUUCUUGCCCGAAUUGGUCCAGUGGCCUAUAAGCUGCAGCUACCCUCUGAGCUCAGCAACAUGCACCCCGUGUUUCAUGUAUCGAAUUUGAAAAAGUGCUUAUUGGAUGAAAUCCUUGUUAUUCCGCUAGAAGAGAUUGAGAUAAACAAGAAUUUAUUCUUCGUGGAAGAACCAGUUGAAAUCAUGGAUAGAGAAGUGAAACGUACUAAGCAAAGUCGCAUCCCAAUUAUAAAAGUUCGUUGGAGUGCCAAACGCGGGCCUAAAUUCACCUGGGAAUGUGAAGAUCAAAUGUUGUAGAAGUAUCCCCACCUAUUCGCUAAACCUUGAAGGCUACUUCAAAGCAAAAAUUUCGGGACGAAAUUCCCUCAAGCAGGGGAUGAUGUGACAACCGGCAAUCUUCUGGUCAAGUCAAAGUCAAGUGAACCUGGUCAACCCAAAUAGUGUUUAUAUGUUAGGGAUUUCUUUAUGUUACUAAUGAACAACUAUAAAUCUUAAUGCAAAGUAACACUUGAAAGUUCCAAAUGUUAAAAAUUUAAAACCCUAAUCUGAUUUAUGGAAGUAACAGCUCUAUAAAAGUAUUAAUAAGUACCCUUCGGGGGUGUAUAGCACUCAAAAUGAGAUGUAACUAAUUCUAAAGUCCUUGCUCUAUGAAGAAAAACAUUAAUAAGGGCUCCCGAUAAAGUCUCUCUCAAUCCCUCCCACUAUAUCUCUCUCUCCUAAAUCUCUCCAAGUAUGUGAAAUCUCUCCCAAAUCUCUCCAAGUAUGUGAAAUCUCUCCCAAAUCUGUUCAAGUAUGUGAAAUCUAUCCCAAAUCUCUCCAAGUAUGUGAAAUCUCUCCUAAAUCUCUCCAAGUAUGUGAAAUCUCUCCCAAAUCUCUCUAUGUACCUUCCUCAGUCGAAAACAACACAAAACCGAAGGAGAAAACCCGAAAGGACCCUCUUGGUCCGGAACCCUCUUGGUCCUGAACCUCUUGUCUGGAACCCUCUUGGUCCUGAACCUCUUGUCCGGAAUGCCUCCGAAGGAACCAAGAGGAAUUGCACCUCGGAAGCCUCUCAUCCGGACCACCCAUUUCGGAACCCCCUUUUUACUUCGAACAAUCUUGCUCCUACAUGAGUCCCUCUUCCGGACCACACAUUUCGAAAUCCUCAGAAGCGCCUUCGGAACCUCGCACCAGAAGCCUGAGCCUCGCCUCGCUUCAGAAGACUGCUAGUCGGACCGGACUUCGCCUGCUGACUACGGAAUUAAAAAGAGCACUCUGAAAUUUUGAAAUUGGCUCCGGAACCCUUCCUAACCACUUCGGACCCUCGCAGGAGCAUGAUUCCACUCCAUAUUUUUUUCAUUUUCAGACCUUUUAUCAUUUUAAGGAAUUUUGACGUCGGGAAUCACACCAAACUCAUAUUUUUCAUAUCUUAGACCCCUUAAACCCCCAUUUUAUGCCAAAAUUAAUUAUUUCAAACAUAAUUAUAUAAAAUAAUACCCAAGAUUUUUAAGGAGAUUCUAAGGAAAUAAAGGGGUUUGACUUUAUGAUGUGAUGUAAAUCCCUCUUUUCCCAUGCAAAUCUCAGUAAAACACACAUUACCCAUAAAAAAUAAGCUUUACCCAGCAGCCCACCAUGAAAAUGUCAAGUCACCUCCCUUAUCCUCCCCUUUAGAUACGUGAACUCCUUUUCCUCCCUUAUUCCACUUCUCACAUUUACAUUCAGAAAACUCCCAAGAAUACUCUCAACUCCAUCAAGCUCCAAGUUUCAUCUCAUCAAAGAAAGUUUCCAGAUUUCUUUUGGUAAGUAUUUUAUCUUCUUUGAAUAAUAAUUCUCCUCACUAUUUCUAAGAUUCCAUUAUAUUUAUACACAAAAUUAUUCUUAGAAUAUCCUAAAGUUCAAAGAACCCUUCAAGUGUUGGAGCUUGGAAACUUCUUAUCAUCUCUUUAAAAUCACCCAACAAGAUAACCAAGGUGAGCUUCAUACCCCACUUUUUUCACUGUUUUAGUGUUUUAGGGGAGAGUACAAGUCAAAUAUUGUCUAAAUACUUGAAUAGUUGCAUGUAUACGUAUGUUUGGAUGUGUGUGUGAAAUAUUAUUAAAUUAUUACAUUAGUAAUAUUCUCAUGAACAUAAGAUUUCACAAUUUCAUAAAGAGCAGAGGAUACUUUAUGUACAAGAGAGCCUCCCAACUAUUGGGUGUGUGCAACUUAACCCCUUUAUCUAUGCUUUCAUGUCUAGAGAUAAAAUUUAUAAAAAGGAACCUUGAAUUAGUUGACACUAUUUCUAGUAAUUUUCGAUAAUGGGAACUUUGGGACUAUUUACAAACUAUUAGGGAUUAUUUUAUAACUAUUUGAUACAAGUAAUUUCGUCAAGGAAAAUGUAAAAUUAGAGCCUUUAUGACAAAAAAAUUGCAUGUCAUAAAGUUGCUGUCAUAACUUCACCCAAGUCAUAGUUAUGUACAAAACAUAACUUCUCAUUUUUCUGACAAAUUGAGCCGCACUUCGUAUUUUAUAAAGAAAAAGGGUUGUUUGCCGGCUUCGAUAAUAUUGGUUCAUCUUGAUUAAUAUUCAAAGUGGAUUUAUUCCAACAAACGAAACAAACGAAACGAACGAAACGAAAUAUCUAGUUACGGCUACAACGAUUAUUAUUUAUUUAGUAAAUAAGGAUUUUCACAAUUUGCUCAGAAGAUCGGUUAGUGUUCUAGUCAGACAAAUCUUCAUAGUACAUAUAUUAAUACAAUAUUUUACGCCUUAAGUCUUGUAAGAGUUAUAACUACAGUAUCCUGGAGGGAGAGCAGGGAUUUGUGUAUAGAUCUAUCUGGGGUUGACACCCUACACCUUCGUUGUUCGCUACAGCUAGACCGACCAGUCUAGGGUGACAAAUCUCUUGAACAAAGCCGACGCCUGAAGAACGUCAUAACAGGCACUCCGUCACAUCAGUAUGGUUAUAACGACUCACUAGAAUAUAUAAGAAAUGUGUUUAUACAGAAUUCACUUUCGGCUUACAGUCAAAUACGUUUUCAUUACCUCAACGAAACCUUUUCCACACGAGUGUUAUGUUUUCAUAAAAGCCACUAUUUUUAUUCUUCAGAAAAUAUAGGAUUUUCUGGGAGAAACGAUUUAUUACAAUUUCGAAAACAAUGAAUUAAGACACACAUGCAACCAUACUCAAUUUGAAACAAGACUCACAACUAUUUUGAUAAGAAAACAUUGGAUUUUCUGGAUUUCUAAACUAUCAUCGAGUUUUAUACAAAAAUGAUUAUGAACUCACCAACAUAUUUUAUGUUGACGCAUUUUCAAACGACUUGUAUUCUCAGGAAAACAAUAAGCAGGUUAUGGAUUGCGGACUCAGGAUUAUUUUGCUGCAUUUUGGAAAUUUGCUUACUGAUGUCUCUUUUUGUAAAUUUUGAGAACAUUAAACAUGAUGUAAAACAAUGUAAGCUUGUUAUAUUGAUGUAUGUUGUUUGGAUUUGCGAUGUUUCAUUUAUAUGUAAUUGUUAUGAUGCUACACAAUGAAGUCACCUGCCUCCGGACGUUUCCGCCAUUCUAGUCUGGGGGUGUGACACAUCCUCUCUCCACUACAUCAUUCUCUUGGUUGUGGUGUUUGUGAGCCAUUAGAGGUGUUAC